rnacentral:rRNA from 1 species
GACGAACCGUGCGAACGUUAUUCGGAAUCAUUGGGCUUAAAGGGCGCGUAGACGGACGGCCGCGUCGAGUGCUGAAAUCCCCCGACUCAACCGGGGAACGGGCCUCGAAACGGGUCGUCUCGAGUGGAGGAGGGGGAACCUGGAACGUCCGGUGGAGCGGUGAAAUGCGUUGAGAUCGGACGGAACGCCGACGGCGAAAGCAAGGUCCUGGACUCCGACUGACGUUGAGGCGCGAAAGCCAGGGGAGCGAACGGG